AACAAAAUUAAUAAUUUCAAGUCUAAUUUAACAGCAUGAGCUUCGUAGAAUGUUCAAGCAUUCGAGAAAUUUUCUUCAAGGUGAUCGAGAUGACUUGUUUGUUGGAAUCACCAUAGCUAAACCACUACACUGUAAUUGUCGGAAGCAAAAAAGUCACAUAAUGAAAUCGGGUCACUUAGCAUGGGCUUGUAACCAAGAAAAGGCAUCAAUGUAGCUGCCUAGUGGAGGUUUGACGUGGAAUACCAGUAUGAUGAGCCACCCUGUUCUUAAUUUGGGUUCUGCGCUCUGAUUUUGUUCCAUUGUAUACAUGUACUACGAUAACGCCGUACAGUCUAACUGCAAAGCACAUCCCUCCUCCACAAUCAAGAAUUAUUCAAGGAACUUUCCAAGUUGACUAAACUCCGAGGAAUUGUCUUUCUACUAAUUGUUUUUGGAUAGCUAUAUAUUUGACCUGCCUUUCAUUCGAAAUGGAAAUACAGAAUACUAAUGAGUUAUAUGAGAACAAAAUUCAGUGGUUGCCCUGUUUGGUCAUUUUGGGGGCACCAAUCCAACAUUAAUGACAGUUUGGCAUCAUCAAAUAUCGGAUGCAAAAUGAAGAAUGAUUAAGGUAAUGGCAUGAGAGCCUGUUCCAAGGUGGCGAUUUAUACAGGAGAAAAUCGGUAGCUUACAUUGUUCCAGCAAUCCUGGUGCUAAUAUGGGUAUUGUCAUCUUCAGAAAGCUUAGCCAAACCAAAGUCAGAGAUCUUAGGGUUAAGGUCCCCAUCAAGUAGUACAUUGGUAGCCUUGAUGUCUCUGUGAACAAUUUUCAGUCUUGAUUCCUCGUGAAGAAAUGCCAAACCUCUUGCUAUGCCAAGACAAAUCCUUAGCCUGGUAGGCCAGUCCAAAUUCAACGUGCAUUCCCC